AGGACAAAGAAGCCUGAAAACAAAUAUUGAUUAUGGAUAUUCCACAAACAAAUUAUCUACAUGUGAAUAAUUGAGGCUCUAUGCAUUAGCCAAAACAUUAGCUGUAAGUAUUUUUUUUCCUCCAAAGUACAUUAAUGGC
rnacentral:lncRNA from 1 species